UCAAUGCCGCGUGAGUGAAGAAGGCCUUCGGGUUGUAAAGCUCUUUCGGCCGGGACGAAAUCGCUCUGGUGAAUAUCCAGGUUGGAUGACGGUACCGGAACAAGAAGCACCGGCUAACUACGUGCCAGCAGCCGCGGUAAUACGUAGGGUGCGAGCGUUAAUCGGAAUUACUGGGCGUAAAGCGUGCGCAGGCGGUUUUGUAAGUCAGACGUGAAAGCCCCGGGCUUAACCUGGGAAUUGCGUUUGAAACUGCAAGGCUAGAGUACGGCAGAGGGGGGUAGAAUUCCACGUGUAGCAGUGAAAUGCGUAGAUAUGUGGAGGAAUACCGAUGGCGAAGGCAGCCCCCUGGGCUAGUACUGACGCUCAUGCACGAAAGCGUGGGGAGCAAACAGGAUUAGAUACCCUGGUAGUCCACGCCCUAAACUAUGACAACUAGUUGUUGGGGAUUAACAUCCUUAGUAACGCAGCUAACGCGUGAAGUUGUCCGCCUGGGGAGUACGGUCGCAAGAUUAAAACUCAAAGGAAUUGACGGGGGCCC
rnacentral:rRNA from 1 species